AGUGGGGGAUAACGUUCGGAAACGGACGCUAAUACCGCAUACGUCCUACGGGAGAAAGCAGGGGACCUUCGGGCCUUGCGCUAUCAGAUGAGCCUAGGUCGGAUUAGCUAGUUGGUGAGGUAAUGGCUCACCAAGGCGACGAUCCGUAACUGGUCUGAGAGGAUGAUCAGUCACACUGGAACUGAGACACGGUCCAGACUCCUACGGGAGGCAGCAGUGGGGAAUAUUGGACAAUGGGCGAAAGCCUGAUCCAGCCAUGCCGCGUGUGUGAAGAAGGUCUUCGGAUUGUAAAGCACUUUAAGUUGGGAGGAAGGGUUGUAGAUUAAUACUCUGCAAUUUUGACGUUACCGACAGAAUAAGCACCGGCUAACUCUGUGCCAGCAGCCGCGGUAAUACAGAGGGUGCAAGCGUUAAUCGGAAUUACUGGGCGUAAAGCGCGCGUAGGUGGUUUGUUAAGUUGGAUGUGAAAUCCCCGGGCUCAACCUGGGAACUGCAUUCAAAACUGACUGACUAGAGUAUGGUAGAGGGUGGUGGAAUUUCCUGUGUAGCGGUGAAAUG
rnacentral:rRNA from 1 species